ACACCUCAACUCUCAUGGCUCGCCAUGAUGAGCUUGGACUUUGGGGGUCUUGCUGACCUACAGUCGGCUCCCCUUAAAUGAAUCAGCUUGCCAGUGUUUGGUGGGAUCACAGGUGUGAUAACUAUCUACGCUUGUGGCUUUCCGCCAAGUAACCUUCAGUGAUGGAGGUUCGCUGGGGCUCACAAAUGUCUCUCCUCAGCGAGGACAGCUUUUUGAAC
rnacentral:misc_RNA from 1 species